rnacentral:rRNA from 1 species
CGACCUGAGUUCAGGCAAGAACACCCGCUGAACUUAAGCAUAUCAAUAAGCGGAGGAAAAGAAACUAACCAGGAUUCCCCUAGUAGCGGCGAGCGAACCGGGAUAAGCCCAACUUGAAAAUCUCCGUCCUUCGGGCGGCGAAUUGUAGUCUAGAGAGGUGUU